rnacentral:rRNA from 1 species
AUUGAACGCUGGCGGCAUGCCUUACACAUGCAAGUCGAACGGCAGCACGGAGCUUGCUCUGGUGGCGAGUGGCGAACGGGUGAGUAAUAUAUCGGAACGUACCCUAGAGUGGGGGAUAACGUAGCGAAAGUUACGCUAAUACCGCAUACGAUCUAAGGAUGAAAGUGGGGGAUCGCAAGACCUCAUGCUCGUGGAGCGGCCGAUAUCUGAUUAGCUAGUUGGUAGGGUAAAAGCCUACCAAGGCAUCGAUCAGUAGCUGGUCUGAGAGGACGACCAGCCACACUGGAACUGAGACACGGUCCAGACUCCUACGGGAGGCAGCAGUGGGGAAUUUUGGACAAUGGGCGAAAGCCUGAUCCAGCAAUGCCGCGUGAGUGAAGAAGGCCUUCGGGUUGUAAAGCUCUUUUGUCAGGGAAGAAACGGUGGGAGCUAAUAUCUCUUGCUAAUGACGGUACCUGAAGAAUAAGCACCGGCUAACUACGUGCCAGCAGCCGCGGUAAUACGUAGGGUGCAAGCGUUAAUCGGAAUUACUGGGCGUAAAGCGUGCGCAGGCGGUUUUGUAAGUCUGAUGUGAAAUCCCCGGGCUCAACCUGGGAAUUGCAUUGGAGACUGCAAGGCUAGAAUCUGGCAGAGGGGGGUAGAAUUCCACGUGUAGCAGUGAAAUGCGUAGAUAUGUGGAGGAACACCGAUGGCGAAGGCAGCCCCCUGGGUCAAGAUUGACGCUCAUGCACGAAAGCGUGGGGAGCAAACAGGAUUAGAUACCCUGGUAGUCCACGCCCUAAACGAUGUCUACUAGUUGUCGGGUCUUAAUUGACUUGGUAACGCCGCUAACGCGUGAAGUAGACCGCCUGGGGAGUACGGUCGCAAGAUUAAAACUCAAAGGAAUUGACGGGGACCCGCACAAGCGGUGGAUGAUGUGGAUUAAUUCGAUGCAACGCGAAAAACCUUACCUACCCUUGACAUGGCUGGAAUCCUUGAGAGAUCAGGGAGUGCUCGAAAGAGAACCAGUACACAGGUGCUGCAUGGCUGUCGUCAGCUCGUGUCGUGAGAUGUUGGGUUAAGUCCCGCAACGAGCGCAACCCUUGUCAUUAGUUGCUACGAAAGGGCACUCUAAUGAGACUGCCGGUGACAAACCGGAGGAAGGUGGGGAUGACGUCAAGUCCUCAUGGCCCUUAUGGGUAGGGCUUCACACGUCAUACAAUGGUACAUACAGAGCGCCGCCAACCCGCGAGGGGGAGCUAAUCGCAGAAAGUGUAUCGUAGUCCGGAUUGUAGUCUGCAACUCGACUGCAUGAAGUUGGAAUCGCUAGUAAUCGCGGAUCAGCAUGUCGCGGUGAAUACGUUCCCGGGUCU